rnacentral:rRNA from 1 species
AUUGAACGCUGGCGGCAGGCUUAACACAUGCAAGUCGAGCGGGGUGAUGGUGCUUGCACUAUCACUUAGCGGCGGACGGGUGAGUAAUGCUUAGGAAUCUGCCUAUUAGUGGGGGACAACAUCUCGAAAGGGAUGCUAAUACCGCAUACGUCCUACGAGAGAAAGCAGGGGAUCACUUGUGACCUUGCGCUAAUAGAUGAGCCUAAGUCGGAUUAGCUAGUUGGUGGGGUAAGGGCCUACCAAGGCGACGAUCUGUAGCGGGUCUGAGAGGAUGAUCCGCCACACUGGGACUGAGACACGGCCCAGACUCCUACGGGAGGCAGCAGUGGGGAAUAUUGGACAAUGGGGGGAACCCUGAUCCAGCCAUGCCGCGUGUGUGAAGAAGGCCUUAUGGUUGUAAAGCACUUUAAGCGAGGAGGAGGCUCUUUUGGUUAAUACCCAAGAUGAGUGGACGUUACUCGCAGAAUAAGCACCGGCUAACUCUGUGCCAGCAGCCGCCGUAACAC